AGCAGCCGCGGUAAUUCCAGCUCCAAUAGCGUAUAUUAAAGUUGUUGCAGUUAAAAAGCUCGUAGUUGAAUUUCGAGACCGGUUUACUGGUCGUGCUUUUGUACGUACUGGUAUUAUUGGUUUCUCCUUUCUGACGAAUCAUAAUGCCAUUAAUUUGGUGUUUUGGGGAAUCAGGACUGUUACUUUGAAAAAAUUAGAGUGUUUAAAGCAGGCUCACGCUUGAAUACAUUAGCAUGGAAUAACGAAAUAGGACGUUUGAUUUUAUUUUGUUGGUUUCUAGGAUCGACGUAAUGAUUAAUAGGGAUAGUUGGGGGCAUUAGUAUUCAAUUGUCAGAGGUGAAAUUCUUGGAUUUAUUGAAGACUAACUACUGCGAAAGCAUUUGCCAAGGAUGUUUUCAUUAAUCAAGAACGAAAGUUAGGGGAUCGAAGACGAUCAGAUACCGUCGUAGUCUUAACCAUAAACUAAUGCCGACUAGGGAUCGGAUGAUGUUAAUUUUUUAAUGACUCAUUCGGCGCUUACGG
rnacentral:rRNA from 1 species